rnacentral:rRNA from 1 species
GACGAACGCUGGCGGCGUGCUUAAUACAUGCAAGUCAACUUGACUUUAGAUAGCAAUAUCGAAAGUAGGGUGGCGCACGGGUGCGUAACGCGUAGGUAAUCUGCCCUGAGGUCUGACAUAACCCGUCGAAAGGCGGGCUAACAUCAGAUGAUAUAUAAUCACGACAUCGUGGAAAUAUCAAAUCUUCGGAGCCUUGGGAUGAGCCCUGCGUCUGAUUAGGUAGUUGGCGGAGUAAUAGCCCACCAAGCCUACGAUCAGUAGCUGGCUGAGAGGAUGAUCAGCCACACUGGAACUGAGACACGGUCCAGACUCCUACGGGAGCAGCAGUAAGGAAUAUUGCUCAAUGGGGGAAACCCUGAAGCAGCAACGCCGCGUGAAGGAUGAAAUACUUUGUAUGUAAACUUCUGUAAGAUGGGAAAAAUAUUCUCCUCGGGAGAAUUGAUUGUACCAUCAGAGUAAGCCCCGGCUAACUACGUGCCAGCAG